AUUGAACGCUGGCGGCAUGCUCUACACAUGCAAGUCGAACGGUAACAGACCGCAAGGUGCUGACGAGUGGCGAACGGGUGAGUAACGCAUCGGAACGUGCCCAGUCGUGGGGGAUAACGCAGCGAAAGCUGUGCUAAUACCGCAUACGAUCUAUGGAUGAAAGCGGGGGACCGUAAGGCCUCGCGCGAUUGGAGCGGCCGAUGUCAGAUUAGGUAGUUGGUGGGGUAAAGGCCCACCAAGCCAACGAUCUGUAGCUGGUCUGAGAGGACGACCAGCCACACUGGGACUGAGACACGGCCCAGACUCCUACGGGAGGCAGCAGUGGGGAAUUUUGGACAAUGGGCGCAAGCCUGAUCCAGCAAUGCCGCGUGCAGGAAGAAGGCCUUCGGGUUGUAAACUGCUUUUGUACGGAACGAAACGGUCUGGGUUAAUACCCUGGGCUAAUGACGGUACCGUAAGAAUAAGCACCGGCUAACUACGUGCCAGCCGCCGCAGUAACAC
rnacentral:rRNA from 1 species